rnacentral:rRNA from 1 species
CCCUUUGUUANUAGGCNUAUGCUCGUCUCUAAGAUUAAGCCAUGCAUGUCUGAGUUCAUACCUAGUUAAAGUGAGACUGCGAAAGGCUCAGUACAUCAGUUAUAGUUUAUUCGAUUGUGAAAUCCACAUGGAUAACCGUGGAAAAUCUAGAGCUAAUACAUGCGAAAAAUGGCUGCAGUGCUUCUGUGCUGUGGUUAUGCAUUUAUUAGAUUAGAACCAGUUAGCAGUGCUGUGUUGAGCAAUCAGCAUAGUACUGCUAUUGUGGUGAGUCUGGAUAACUGUGCCGAUCGUAUGGCCUUGAGCCGGCGACGUUUCGAUUAAAUUUCUGCCCUAUCAACUUGAUGGUAAGGUAGUGGCUUACCAUGGUGAUUACGGGUAACGGGGAAUCAGGGUUCGAUUCCGGAGAGGGAGCCUGAGAAAUGGCUACCACAUCCAAGGAAGGCAGCANGCGCGCAAAUUACCCAAUCCAAACACUGGGAGGUGGUGACGAAGAAAUACCAGGUCGUUCCCAAAAGGAUUUCNACACUGGAAUGAGUGCAAUUUAAGCAUUUCAACGAGUAACAACUGGAGGGCAAGUCUGGUGCCAGCAACCGCNGUAACUCCAGCUUCCAGUAAUGUAUCCCUAACCGUUGCUGCGGUUAAAACGCUUCGUAGUUGGAUCACGCACUGUGUGNUGGUGACGUNCAUUGCGUACUUAUUGCCCNUCUUNUUCUAGGCNCGGAUCAUUNCCGUGCACUGAAUNUGGGGAANUGCGUAGUGUGCGUCGUAANUUGAUCCCCAGUAUUUUCNCGUGAGNAUGAUCGCUGACCUUGAGUGUGUCGGUGAUCGUGUCUCACGGGGUGUNCCUUGAGUAAAUCAGAGUGCUUUAAANCAGGCGUAAGCUUGAAUGUUGAUAGCAUGGNCGANCAAUCGUGUAUGGUGUGUAUUGAGUACGGUGUGUGUGGCGCAAGUCGCACACAUUUCAAUGCAUGACACCGACCACCAAUUACGGAUGUUGGUUUCCGUAUUGGGGUACUGAUUAAGAGGAGCGGUUGGGGACAUUGGUAUUUGGCAGCGAGAGGUGAAAUUCUUGGACCUGUCAAGGACUAACAAAUGCGAAGGCAUCUGUCCAGACCGUAUCCAUUAAUCAAGAACGAUAGUGAGAGGUUCGAAGACGAUCAGAUACCGUCCUAGUUCUCACCGUAAACUAUGCCGACCCGGGAUCAGUUUGGAGCAGUGUAUCCACGCUCGAGGUUGGUCCCCCUGGGAAACCUUGAGUGUUUAGGUUCCGGGGGGAGUAUGGUUGCAAGGCUGAAACUUAAAGGAAUUGACGGAAGGGCACCACCAGGAGUGGAGCCUGCGGCUUAAUUUGACUCAACACGGGAAAACUCACCUGGUCCUGACAUCGAUAGGAUUGACAGACUAAUAGAUCUUUCAUGAUACGGUGGGUGGUGGUGCAUGCCCGUUCUUAGUUCGUGGAGUGAUCUGUCAGGUUGAUUCCGGUAACGAACGAGACCACGGUCUUCAUUUGGGCAGUUGGAAGGUGCGAAACGCGUCGACUGAUGUGCUUUUUGAGUGCAUCAGACGGCGUCGUCCGGCCCUUCUGACUUGCGUACAGCAAUGUGCGUGCCUAUGGAGAGACAGCCGGAUUGUAAGCCGGAGGAAGCGUGGCAAUAACAGGUCUGUGAUGCCCUUCGAUGUUCAGGGCUGCACGCGCGCUACAAUGAUGACGACAGCGAGAGUCUGGACUGAAAAGUUCUGGGGAAUCUUGUGAAUCGUCAUCGUGAUGGGAAUUGAGCAUUGUAAUUGUUGCUCAUGAAAGAGGAAUUCCUUGUAAGCGCAACUCACUUAGGUUGCGUUGAACGCGUCUCUGCCCUUUGUACACACCGCCCGUCGCUACUACCGAGUGAAUGGUGUCAUGAUGUCUUGGGACUGGACGUUGUUGGCAGUGCAAACUGCGGACGAUGCCAGGAGCAAGACAGAAUGGCGCAAUUUCGAGGAAGUAAAAGUCGUAACAAGGUUUCCG